rnacentral:tRNA from 1 species
GGAGAGGUGGCAGAGUGGUCGAAUGUACCUGACUCGAAAUCAGGCGUGCCGGCAACGGCACCGUGGGUUCGAAUCCCACCCUCUCCGCCA